rnacentral:tRNA from 1 species
UCCAGGGUAGCCUAGUGGACAUGGCAUCUGCCCAGUAAGCGGAACACUGUGGGCUCGGUUCCCAUCUCUGGAC